AACUGGGCAGAGGGAUCCUCCUCCUUUCACCACUGACCUGGUCACAUCUCAUUAACCUUGCUCCCUAACCUCUUGGCCGCAGAGAACUGGGUGUGUGGGAAUGCAAAGUGAAGAAGGAUAAUAAGUGGAUGCUGACCUUGGUUCCCACCAGCUGCUGGCUACCUUAUCUCAGAAAGGAUAGAUAACGGACACCUCAUUAAUGAGAAAAACAAGGUGUGAUUUAUGCUGAUGGAGUGGGUUGUCCUUGACUAAUUAUGCUAAUGUGUAGGUGUGUGCCUUGUGGCCCUGAGAGAGAUAUUGAGAGCUGAAAUGAUCAAUAAAGGCCUCUGGCAUAAUUCACAUUGAA